UACGUAGGGGGCAAGCGUUGUCCGGAUUUAUUGGGCGUAAAGAGCUCGUAGGCGGUUUGUCGCGUCGAAUGUGAAAUCCCGGGGCUCAACCCCGGGUCUGCAUUCGAUACGGGCAGACUAGAGUUCGGUAGGGGAGUCUGGAAUUCCUGGUGUAGCGGUGAAAUGCGCAGAUAUCAGGAGGAACACCGGUGGCGAAGGCGGGACUCUGGGCCGAUACUGACGCUGAGGAGCGAAAGCGUGGGGAGCAAACAGG
rnacentral:rRNA from 1 species